AUUGAACGCUGGCGGCAUGCCUUACACAUGCAAGUCGAACGGCAGCACGGGUGCUUGCACCUGGUGGCGAGUGGCGAACGGGUGAGUAAUACAUCGGAACAUGUCCUGUAGUGGGGGAUAGCCCGGCGAAAGCCGGAUUAAUACCGCAUACGAUCUACGGAUGAAAGCGGGGGACCUUCGGGCCUCGCGCUAUAGGGUUGGCCGAUGGCUGAUUAGCUAGUUGGUGGGGUAAAGGCCUACCAAGGCGACGAUCAGUAGCUGGUCUGAGAGGACGACCAGCCACACUGGGACUGAGACACGGCCCAGACUCCUACGGGAAGCAGCAGUGGGGAAUUUUGGACAAUGGGCGAAAGCCUGAUCCAGCAAUGCCGCGUGUGUGAAGAAGGCCUUCGGGUUGUAAAGCACUUUUGUCCGGAAAGAAAUCCUUGGCUCUAAUACAGUCGGGGGAUGACGGUACCGGAAGAAUAAGCACCGGCUAACUACGUG
rnacentral:rRNA from 1 species